AUUCCUUAAGAACUAUACUACUGGGCAAGAAGAUGCACUAUGCUGCUGGCAGCUCCCUUUCAGACAGCAGCUUUCCUCACUGCAUCUGUGCUGCAGCGAUGCUCUUUUCAACUGGAACUAGAUUUGAGAUUUCAAAUGUUACCUUUAAGAUCUAAAGUGCACCUAUACAGUGCAAACAGUGAAUGCAUCAC